rnacentral:misc_RNA from 1 species
GGUGACCUGUGGAAGGAUCAUUAACACGUAUCCAACGUUAAACCCCCCGUGAACCUUUAUUGCGAACCACGCCUUUGUUAGAAAGUAGCAAUCCCUGGUAAAUCAUCGCUGAACAGUUUUGAUUCAGUGGAUUUCUGCGAAGAGAGCGGUUGUAGCGCGAGGUAAGUGGCCUGGCAUCCCUCUGCUUGUUAGUGUCUGAAGUGUCUGAAAGUGUCACUAGCUCUGUACGGAUGGCGCAGUCACGACCGGGUCACCGGGCACCCCCUAUCACCCCUUUGCAUGAAAACGGGCCUGCGCUUAAUUGUGCGGCCACCAAACUCGAACAACUGUUAACAAUGGAUAUCUUGGUUCUC